GAAACCCGGGCUAAUACCGCAUAAAGUCUCUCCUUCGCAUGGAGGGAAGACCGAAGGGAGCCUCUGCUUGCAAGCUUCCACCGGAAGAGGGGGUCGCGGCGUAUCAGCUUGUUGGUGAGGUAACGGCUCACCAAGGCUACGACGCGUAGCGGGUCUGAGAGGACGAUCCGUCACAUUGGGACUGAGAUACGGCCCAGACUCCUACGGGAGGCAGCAGUGGGGAAUAUUGCGCAAUGGACGAAAGUCUGACGCAGCGACGCCGCGUGUGGGAUGAAGCCUUUCGGGGUGUAAACCACUGUCAGGGGGGAAGAAACACGUUCACCUGAAUAGGGCGAGCGAUUGACGGUACCUCCAGAGGAAGCGCCGGCUAACUCCGUGCCAGCAGCCGCGGUAAGACGGAGGGCGCAAGCGUUGUUCGGAAUUACUGGGCGUAAAGCGCACGCAGGCGGUUUCUUAAGUCUUCUGUGAAAGCCCGGGGCUCAACUCCGGAACUGCAGAGGAUACUGGGAAACUGGAGACAGGUAGAGGCUAGCGGAAUUCCUGGUGUAGCGGUGGAAUGCGUAGAUAUCAGGAAGAACACC
rnacentral:rRNA from 1 species